AUGUACGCAGAGCCGAAGAAGGCCCACCACGCGCUCGACCACGCCGGCUCCUUCAAGAAACUCUACAACUCCAUGGAGACCAUGCGUUCCGCCAGCAGCUCUUUUAAAGGAAAGGUGAAGAGACUUUGCAGCUUUUUCGAAACGGACAAGCUCCCGCCGCCUCGAAACGUUUCGGAGGAGACAAUUCAAUCGCUUGGGAAGCAGCUCAGGCCGUCGAAAUCCAUGGUGCAUUCAAAGUCUCUGGGGCCAGAUUUUCAGGUGCUGUCGAUUAGGCUGCCGGGGACGGAUGACAGGAUUGUAAUGUACCUCACUAGCUUGCGCGGGGUUCGCAGGACUUAUGAGGAUUGUUAUGCUGUGAAGAAUAUAUUCCGAGGGUUUGGGGUUUGGGUUGAUGAGAGUGAUAUUUCCAUGGAUUCGGCUUAUAGGAAAGAGUUGCAGAGAGUUUUGGGUGCCAAGAAUGUGAGUUUGCCUCAGGUUUUUAUAAAGGGGAAAUAUGUGGGUGGUGCCGAGGUGAUCAAGCAGCUGUUUGAGACCGGAGAGUUGGCAAAGAUAUUGCAAGGGCUUCCCAGUCGGAAACCUAGGUCUGUGUGUGGGGGUUGUGGGGAUGCGAGGUUUGUGCCGUGCAUGAAUUGCAGUGGGAGCAGGAAGGUGUUUUGAUGAGGAUGAUGACACGCCCAAGAGAUGCUCCGAGUGCAAUGAGAAUGGUAUUCGGUGUCCUAAUUGUUGUUGUUAA